GGCCCCGACUGGAGACUGCUGUUCCCCUCGACCCUCGUCCGUCCGUCCGUCCGUCACCUGACGGCUCCCAAACCCUACCCCGCAGAUCCCUCCCCUUCCUCUACCCCCGCCUCGCCGCCGGUCUUCGUCACCCGUCGCCGUGCCCGUCGGCGCGGUGUUAAGGGUCCGCUACGCUGCACCUCGCGGGGAGAAAGGGGUGGGCCUCGGGGACCUCCGCCCUCCGCGCAAGGUCAUUGAAUGACCUUCUAUACGAAUAUGGAUUUGAAUGCAUCACCGGUGCCUGACGAUGAUGAGCAACAGCCUUAUGAUGAUUCAGUUGAGGUUGGGUAUGCUCAGACGGAACAUGUUGAAUCUGCUGUUGCAACAUUGCGCCGGGAGCGUGAAGAGAGACGCAAGAGACUAAAGAGAGAGCAGCAGGAUGAUGGGUCAAGGCUACAUUCCCAGCAGAUUAGGAAUGAUUAUGCUCCUCAACCCAAAAGACAUAGUCGCAUUAAAGAGGCACCUCAGGGCUGGCUGGACUGCCCUGCAUUUGGGGAACCAAUAGAUAAAAUCAUACCAUCUAAAGUUCCUCUUGACGAAACAUUCAAUGAGUCAGUGCCUCCUGGGAAGCGGUACUCCUCAAAGCAACUAGUUAACAAACAAAGAAAAGCUGGCCGCGAAAUAGGUCUGGUGAUUGAUUUGACAAAUACCACCCGAUAUUAUUCACCAGCAGAAUGGACGAAGCAAGGUACUAAGUAUGCGAAGAUUGCAUGCAAGGGGAGAGAUGCUGUACCUGACAAUGAAUCUGUUAAUAAGUUUGUCUAUGAGGCAAUGAUGUUCCUUGAUCGACAAAAACAAUCAAAGAAUCCUAAAUAUAUUCUGGUUCACUGUACCCAUGGUCAUAAUCGUACAGGUUUCAUGAUUAUUCAUUACCUUAUGCGCACACACGUCUCUUGUGUUGCUGAGGCGAUUAGUAUAUUUGCUCAAAGGCGGCCACCUGGCAUAUACAAGAGGGACUAUAUUGAAGCAUUGUAUUCAUUUUACCAUGAGGUUCCUGACAAUAUGAUGAUAGCAUGCCCUCCAACACCAGAAUGGAAGAGACCAGAUGAUCUCGAUUUAAAUGGCGAAGCUAAGCAGGAUGACGAUGAUGACAAUGGUGAUCCUGGACCACUGCAUAAUGAAUCAGAGGAUAAAGUCAUCACCAAUGACGAUGUGUUAGGGGAUGAAGUGCCAUAUGACCAGCAAGAAGCUUUGCGUGUCCUAUGUUAUCGGUUGCUUGAAAUGCCUCUUGGAAGGGGGCAUGCACACUUUCCUGGAUCACAUCCAGUUUCUCUUAACAGUGAAAAUCUGCAACUACUUAGACAGCGAUACUACUAUGCUACAUGGAAAGCUGACGGAACACGUUAUAUGAUGCUUAUAAUGAGACAUGGUUGUUUCUUGAUUGAUCGGAAUUUUAGCUUUAGAAGGGUUCAGAUGCGCUUUCCCCAUAGGAGCCUCCAAGGUCUGCAAGAUAUGACCUUGAUUGAUGGAGAGAUGAUUAUAGACACAGUACCAGAUUCAGGCUUGAAGAGACGGUACUUGGCAUAUGAUCUUAUGGCGCUUGGCUCAGUGUCCAAAACUAGGUUGCCAUUUUCUGAAAGGUGGAAAAUGCUGGAAGAUGAAAUAAUACAGCCGCGUAAUAAUGAGAAAGGCCUUGAGCGUGGUGCUAAGAGCAAUCCGUUGUACAAAUAUGACAUGGAACUAUUUUCGGUUAGGAGAAAGGCUUUUUGGGUGCUAUUAACAGUAAAAAAGGUUCUUAAGGUGUUUAUUCCAUCGCUAUGCCAUGAUGCUGAUGGCCUUAUAUUUCAGGGCUGGGAUGAUCCAUAUGUAACUCGUACUCAUGAAGGUCUUCUAAAGUGGAAAUACCCUGAGAUGAAUUCUGUUGACUUUCUGUUUGAGCUUACAAAUGAUAAUCGUCAGCUGGUUUUCCUAUAUGAGAGAGGAAAAAAGAAACUUAUGGAUGGUGCUCGGAUAUCAUUUACUGGUAGCCAUGCAUUUGAAUUUUCAUGAUGACUGGUCGUUCAUUGUGUAGUCAGCUUAUUUGUCUAUUAGUUGCUGAAAUGAUGUAGAUCCAUCUUCUGUCGCUGGGAGGAUUGUCGAGUGCUCUUGGAACAAGGAAGAACAGUGUUGGGCAUGUAUGCGUAUUAGAUCUGAUAAAUCAACUCCAAACGACAUCAACACAUACCGGAAGGUGAUGAGGAGUAUCACAGAUAACAUUACCGAGGAGAAGCUUCUCGAAGAGACUGAUGAGAUAACGCUCCUGCCGAUGUAUGCCGAUAGGAUGAAUGUUCGUGUUCAUACAAAGAUGGCACAACACAGGCGAAGAUUGCCACCACAGUGCUAGUCUCGUUGCUAGAGUGCUGGGUCGCUCUCCUAGCCAGCGGCUGGCUUCUGUAGCUGUGUAAUUAGUAGAGGUUUCAGUAGCCCCCCCCCCCCCCCCCCCCCUAUGAUGAUGGCCAGCCAACUAAUUCUUUGCACUUCAUUUGUGUCUUGUCCCCUGCCCUCACACCUACCUGUAUAGGCUUCCCUGUAAAUUGUGUGCUCUAUGUUCCUCCAUAUUCUCCCCUAUGGUUUUAUUUUUCAUGGGUGUAGAAUAGCGUUUAACAAGGCGGGUGGUGUUCUAUGUAGGCGUUGCCAUCUCUCGGUGCUGCCUCGUGCUAGAAUAAUGUAGGGUGUACUGGCGAUACCAUGUGGUUGCGAUAUAUGGCUUGGUUUUAGUGUUUUGGUUUGUGCGCACCUGAUCC